AUUUCUUGUUGGCUUCAAGAAAAUAAUUCUCUUGCAAGUAAAUAGUCACUCAUGUAGUGUAAUUUAGUGCAAGCAUUUGAAGUGAAAGGUGGUGUGGUAUUCAAGCGGUUCAAUAAGCUUUUCUAAAACUGUCAUCAUACUUAGAAUAGGCGUGUCCAAUGUUCUGCCAUAUCUAGGGCAGAAGCGGCUGACCUGCAGUUGGUGAGGAACACACUAGCACUUGCUAUCUGAUCUCAAAUAAUUGAGUAAAAAAUCUGCUGAGAAGGGGAGCAUGUAGUCUAGUCUCUAGAUGCUGCAAAUAUCCUUUAUCUCUGGAGAAGAUGAUGUUGAAAACGAGAAGGGCGAAAUCAUUUACAAAAAGAAAAUAAGCAAACGGGGCCAGAAUUAUUACUAAGUAGGUGUGGUAAAAGAGAGUACUUUAGUCUUAAAUACAAAUAGGAUAGACAGCAGGACGGUGGACAUGGAAGUCCGUACGCGCUAACAAGUGUGUAAAAACUUACCUGCCGAGUCAACUAGCCUUGAAAAUGGAAGGAGACGCUUGAACGAGAAACCUACACCCAACCGAACUGGCUAGGGCUUUGGGUGUACGCACAGCUGGAGCUUCCGUCAGUGCAGAUCUCGGUGGUAGCAGUAAUUAUUUAAGUUCAAUCCUUGAAGACUGAAGUGGAGAAGGGGUCCAUGUGAACAGUAGUUGAAUGUGGCCAGUCGAUCCUAAGACACUGGUCUACACCUUCUAUCAUUAAGAGAGGAAAGUUUCUUUUCUCUUGGGCAUCAAAAGGGAAUAGGGUGACAAUUCUCUACCGCAUAUAGAAAAAGAUUGCGGCUCUUUGAGUCUCUUACGCGGUAACGCAUUCGAGUUUGGUUGAAUUUUGUUACUUCACUCGGAGAUUAGUUGAGCAUAACAGAGUUAUCUUCUCUAGCUAAGGAACGGACUCCCUGGAAUUGGUUCAGCCGUAGAUAGGGACAUUGUUACCGUAAAGCAUCGCGAUUUCUGUGAUAUCUCGUAACCUAUGGUCUGCCCUUGAAAAACCAAGGAAAUCCAAUAAUCUGUGCUGCAUCGUACCGAUAUCCGCAUCAGGUCUCCAAGGUGAACAACCUUUAGUCGAAAGAACAAUGUAGGUAAGGCAAUUCUGCAAAUAAGAUCCAUAACUUCGAGAAAAAGAUUGGCUCCAGUGAACUGAUCGGUUGACCUGUUAACUGAUGCGGUUUCGCUCGUGGCUGGACUAGUGACAAGAUUGCCUUGUUGAGGUUUUCAGGUGUGUGCUUUGUCUUCGGGCUUAUUAUCCUGACCGACCAUCAAAUGGUCGAACUGGAACUGAUAAGGACUGGGGGAAUCCGACUGUCUAAUUAAAACAGAGGAGGCAGGUGGUUCUAGCGGGCGUUUACUCUCUCCAAUUUCUGCUGAGUGUCCUGAAUGUUGAAUAGUAGUAAUUCGAGUGAACGUGGGUAAACGGCGCGAGUAACUGUGACUCUCUUAAGGUAGCGAAAUGCCUCGUUAGCUAACUACUGAUGCGCAUGAACGAAACCAACCCUGUGUAAUGAGAUGAUUGUGGUGGAAAGAGUAUGCUCUCGUGUAGUUUAUCCGCACCUUUUCUGUAUGGUCGUACAAUAGUUGAUUUACCUUAUAAUAGCUCUGGAUAUGCUUAUAACCAUUAAACAUUAACGAGAAAGUACUGUCCCUAACUACUGUCUAGCGAAACCAUAGUCAAGGAAGUGGAAAAAAAGAGCGAGAAAAGAAGACGCUGUUGACUUUGACUCUACUUUGACAUUCUUAAGAGUCAUGAGAGGUGAAGCAUAGCAAGGAGACUUCGGCCUCCAAUGAAAUAUCGCCACUUUCAUCGAUUCUUUACUUAUCCGGUGAGAAGAGAAUUGUAUUUUGGCUGUUUUCCAUCUUUGUGUUAAACAUAUCUCAUUAAUGACACUAUCGUCAUGCGGGGAGUUUGACUGGGGCGGUACAUCUGUUAAAUCGUAAGAAGGUGUCCUAACUGUCCUCAGAGAGGACGGAAACCACUCGUAAAGCGAAAGGACAAAAGCUCGGUUGAGCUUGACUUUCAGUACGAGUACAUACCGCGAUACGUGGCCUAUCGAUCCUUUUAAUUCAGAACGUUUCUAGUAAAAGGUGUCAGAAAAACUAGGACAGGGAUAAUUUGGUUGUGGCAGCCAAGCAUCCGUUUUAGCGACGUUGCUUUUUAACCCUUUUUGAUGUCAGCUCUUCUUAUCAUUGUGAAGCAGAAUUCGCAAACAUUGCAUUGUUCAUCCUAUAAUAGGGAAUAUGUGCGGAGUUUAGACCGCCGUAAGACAGGUUAGUCUACCUUGCUGUUGAAUAAUUGCUGCGAAAGUAGUCGUGCUUAGUGAGAGAGGAAUAGCGGGUUCAGACAUUUGGUUCAUGGACUUGACCAAUCGGUCAGGGGUCCAAAACUAACACCUGUGGAUUAUGACUGAACGCCUCUAAGUCAGAAUUCGAACU
rnacentral:rRNA from 1 species